rnacentral:lncRNA from 1 species
UCCCAACCCAAAUCAAGGUAUUAUGAUAAUCACAGCAGUAGCAGUGACAAUGAGGAUGAUUUUAUUCCACUUAAGAUAAAUAUAAUUGAUUUCAGGCUUUUAAACAUCGGGCAUAACUUCAGAUGUGCACGACUACUUUGGCUCUGCUUUUUAUUCUUGGUUUGCACAGUUCAAUACCACGGGCCUCGUGUAUCUCAGAGGCGUUCUGGGGUGCAUUUGUUCUUUGGCACCAGAUACGGUAGUAACUUAUUUGACCUCUUUGGAUCUCAGUUUCCCUACUUAUAAAACAGGAACAGCAAAUAACACUGUAGCAGAGCUGUCAGGACUAUCACCUGAGAUGUCACAUACGUGUGUGGAUCGCUCCCUGAUAACUCCGUGUGUAGGUGGCUUCCUGAAGGAAUCAGGCACCUGCCAGCUUUCAGGUUAUCCUUUCAUAAGCUGAGGCCCAC